ACAAGUCGUAACAAGGUAUCCGUAGGUGAACCUGCGGAUGGAUCAUUAUGGAAUGGUUGGAUGAUUGUGAGUGAUUUUAUUAAUAGGAGAGUGGUGUUGGUUGGGAAGCGAAGCAGGAAUGCAAAGCAGGAUUGCGAAGCAAGACAGCCAACAUUGCCCACGUUAAACUAUAUAAAUCUAACAAAUACACAUAACAAGAAACAACUUUUAGCAACGGAUCUCUUGGCUCUC
rnacentral:misc_RNA from 1 species